rnacentral:rRNA from 1 species
UGAGUAACGCGUAUGCAACCUACCUAUCAGAGGGGAAUAACCCGGCGAAAGUCGGACUAAUACCGCAGUAAAACAGGGGCACCGCAUGGUGAUAUUUGUUAAAGAAUUCGCUGAUAGAUGGGCAUGCGUUCCAUUAGGUAGUUGGUGAGGUAACGGCUCACCAAGCCGACGAUGGAUAGGGGAACUGAGAGGUUGGUCCCCCACACUGGUACUGAGACACGGACCAGACUCCUACGGGAGGCAGCAGUGAGGAAUAUUGGUCAAUGGGCGGGAGCCUGAACCAGCCAAGUCGCGUGAAGGAAGAAGGAUCUAUGGUUCGUAAACUUCUUUUGCAGGGAAUAAAGUGCAGGACGUGUCCUGUUUUGUAUGUACCCUGAGAAUAAGGAUCGGCUAACUCCGUGCCAGCCGCCGC